CGGACGGGUGAGUAAUGUAUGGGGAUCUGCCUGAUGGCGGGGGAUAACUACUGGAAACGGUAGCUAAUACCGCAUAACGUCGCAAGACCAAAGAGGGGACCUUCGGGCCUCUUGCCAUCAGAUGAACCCAUAUGGGAUUAGCUAGUAGGUAAGGUAACGGCUUACCUAGGCGACGAUCCCUAGCUGGUCUGAGAGGAUGAUCAGCCACACUGGGACUGAGACACGGCCCAG
rnacentral:rRNA from 1 species